GCCGACCUCAGAUCAGGUAAGACUACCCGCUGAACUUAAGCAUAU
rnacentral:rRNA from 2 species